CUGUCGGUGGUAUAACGGUUAGCAUAGCUGCCUUCCAAGCAGUUGACCCGGGUUCGACUCCCGGCCGACGCA
rnacentral:tRNA from 1 species